rnacentral:rRNA from 1 species
UACAGGUGCUGCAUGGCUGUCGUCAGCUCGUGUCGUGAGAUGUUCGGUUAAGUCCGCUAACGAGCCGCAACCCUCGCUGUGUGUUACAAGUGUCACGACGGAACUGCCGGUCAUAAACCGGAGGAAGGUGGGAUGACGUCAAGUCAGCAUGGCCUUUAUAUCCUGGGCUACACACACGCUACAAUGGCCAACACAAUAGGUUGCUAAGCCGCGAGGUGGCGCCAAUCCAUAAAGUUGGUCUCAGUUCAGAUUGUAGGCUGCAACCCGCCUGCAUGAAGAUGGAGUUGCUAGUAACCGCAGGUCAGCUAUACUGCGGUGAAUACGUUCCCGGGGCUU